AUGGUUGACCUCGGAUCAGGUAGGGUUACCC
rnacentral:rRNA from 1 species